rnacentral:misc_RNA from 1 species
GUCCCAGAUGCACCCAAAG